GAUGAACGCUGGCGGCGUGCUUAACACAUGCAAGUCGAACGAAGCGCUCUACUUGAUCUCCUUCGGGAGUGAUUGUUUAGUGACUGAGUGGCGGACGGGUGAGUAACGCGUGGAUAACCUGCCUCACACAGGGGGAUAACAGUUGGAAACGGCUGCUAAUACCGCAUAAGCGCACGGUGCUGCAUGGCACAGUGUGAAAAGCUCCGGCGGUGUGAGAUGGAUCCGCGUCUGAUUAGCCAGUUGGCGGGGUAACGGCCCACCAAAGCGACGAUCAGUAGCCGGCCUGAGAGGGCGACCGGCCACAUUGGGACUGAGACACGGCCCAGACUCCUACGGGAGGCAGCAGUGGGGAAUAUUGCACAAUGGGGGAAACCCUGAUGCAGCGACGCCGCGUGAGCGAAGAAGUAUCUCGGUAUGUAAAGCUCUAUCAGCAGGGAAGAUAAUGACGGUACCUGACUAAGAAGCUCCGGCUAA
rnacentral:rRNA from 1 species